UGCAGCCUUGUCAAAUUCAGUGCUCCGUCUGCAGUCGGUGCCACUGGCCAAAAUGGCUGCCACAGUGAAGUGUAGUUCAUGGGCCUCAUUGGUUUGAACAUAAUCUCUGGGGAUAAAUAUGUACUACACACAAAA
ensembl:snoRNA